ensembl:lncRNA
ACAGCAUUGAAGGAGAGAGGGAGCAAGGGAGGGGGGACAGAAACAAAACAUAAACAGACCAUCUCUGACAAAAUAGCGGCAGUGGCUGGAGAGGCAGAGAUGUGCUGCUGAAGCACGCGCACAUAAACACAAACACACAACACUCACACUUCGGGAAACGUCAUUCUGGACUGGCACUGACUCCACGCUACGAGCAAGCACAGCCACAGGACGUAUUGGGGUUCAUAUCUAGAUUGUGAGGCCAGACAGAAACCCGUGUGUUGGGUCUGGAACGUUGACAGUGCAGCCACGGUCUCCACUGCUGCGCUGGGACCGAAUGGUAAAGAGACCCGGGAAAAGUGACAGCGCGAACGGGUUGUGAAGGAGACUGGAUCAUGGCUUCUUCUCCAAUCCCAAUCACUCCUGUAUCGAUGGAAGGAUCGACACCGUCGCCCAAUGCGAAUGAAGCGCCCACCAUUGCUCAUCAGGUCGCCUAAUGCAGCGUAUCCAAGGAGACGUGAGGGAGAGUGCGUCAUAUGCUGCGUGUUUUGCCCCUAUUUCGUGAGGUUUAUAGUGAGUUUAGACUCAGGUUAAAGUUCUUUGCUAAAGGGUGUAGUCUCUCUACUGCAACAGAAGCGCUGCAUGCGUCCUCCUGUCUCACCAAUCUGUGGAUAUGACGACGCAUUUUAUUCUGACUUUAGCAGUUGCCAAGGCACAAGACGAUGUAUGGUGCAGAUGCACAACACAGUAAUAAGAAUGCUUGUUACAUUCUGCACACAUUUUGUCUUAGUUGUCAGCUUUGCGGUGUCAUCCCAAUUGGAAUCCUGGCUAUAAAUCAUUGGAUGCAGGGGUGCCCAGCCUAUUCAACGAAGGGCCGAGUGUCUGCAGGGCUCUGGUUCAUCCUUUCAGUUAAGACCUAGACAACUAGGUGAGGGGAGUUCCUUACUAAGACCUAGACAACCAGGUGAGAGGAGUGCCUUACUAAGACCUAGACAACCAGGUGAGGGGAGUUCCUUACUAAGACCUAGACAACCAGGUGAGGGGAGUUCCUU